rnacentral:rRNA from 1 species
UGCAGGACACAUGAACAUCGACAUUUCGAACGCACAUUGCGGUCCAUGGAUUCCGUUCCCGGACACGCCUGGCUGAGGGUCGGUAGCUAAAACUGAAAUGCUGAUUCCUUUUCGAUGGUGGGAGCUUCGCUGAAGGUGCGACUGCGGUUGCCCUGGCGUCUCCUGAAAUGAGCUCCGCGAGGAGCUGGACUAGUCACGAAAAGAACGGCGGUGUCGCAUCACGGCGGUUGAUUUCGGUGGUCCGCGCAGCGUCUGAGUAUGCUGGCGCUGGUUGCCCCGAGCUUCUUGCCUAGCGCAUCGUACGUGAGUGGCGUUUGCACAUUUCCUAACACGACCUCAGAGCAGGCGAGACUACCCGCUGAAUUUAAGCAUAUCAAUAAGCGGAGG